rnacentral:rRNA from 1 species
GAUGAACGCUAGCGGCAGGCCUAACACAUGCAAGUCGAGGGGCAGCACGUCUUCGGAUGGUGGCGACCGGCGCACGGGUGCGUAACGCGUAUGCAACCUACCUCUUACAGUGGGAUAGCCCAGAGAAAUUUGGAUUAAUACCGCAUAGUAUACAGAUUCAGCAUUGGGACUGUGUUAAACAUUUAUGGGUAAGAGAUGGGCAUGCGUUCUAUUAGUUAGUUGGAGUGGUAACGGCACCCCAAGACAGCGAUAGAUAGGGGCCCUGAGAGGGGGAUCCCCCACACUGGUACUGAGACACGGACCAGACUCCUACGGGAGGCAGCAGUGAGGAAUA